rnacentral:rRNA from 1 species
GAGUUUGAUCGUGGCUCAGGAUGAACGCUGGCGGCGUGCUUAACACAUGCAAGUCGAACGCUGAAGCCCCAGCUUGCUGGGGUGGAUGAGUGGCGAACGGGUGAGUAACACGUGAGUAACCUUCCCUUGACUCUGGGAUAAGCCUGGGAAAACCGGGUCUAAUACCGGAUACGACCGGUCACCGCAUGGUGGCCGGUGGAAAGAUUUAUCGGUCUUGGAUGGACUCGCGGCCUAUCAGCUGGUUGGUGGGGUAAUGGCCCACCAAGGCGACGACGGGUAGCCGGCCUGAGAGGGUGACCGGCCACACUGGGACUGAGACACGGCCCAGACUCCUACGGGAGGCAGCAGUGGGGAAUAUUGCACAAUGGGCGCAAGCCUGAUGCAGCGACGCCGCGUGAGUGAAGAAGGCCUU